rnacentral:rRNA from 1 species
GAUGAACGCUGGCGGCGUGCCUAAUACAUGCAAGUCGAGCGAACAGAUGAGGAGCUUGCUCCUCUGACGUUAGCGGCGGACGGGUGAGUAACACGUGGAUAACCUACCUAUAAGACUGGGAUAACUUCGGGAAACCGGAGCUAAUACCGGAUAAUAUAUUGAACCGCAUGGUUCAAUAGUGAAAGACGGUUUUGCUGUCACUUAUAGAUGGAUCCGCGCCGCAUUAGCUAGUUGGUAAGGUAACGGCUUACCAAGGCGACGAUGCGUAGCCGACCUGAGAGGGUGGUAGGCCACACUGGAACGUAGCCACGGUCCAGACUCCUACGGGAGGCAGCAGUAGGGAAUCUUCCGCAAUGGGCGAAAGCCUGACGGAGCAACGCCGCGUGAGUGAUGAAGGUCUUCGGAUCGUAAAACUCUGUUAUUAGGGAAGAACAAAUGUGUAAGUAACUAUGCACGUCUUGACGGUACCUAAUCAGAAAGCCACGGCUAACUACGUG